GUGAGGAAUUUUCCGCAAUGGGCGAAAGCCUGACGGAGCAAUGCCGCGUGAAGGAUGAAGGCCUAUGGGUUGUAAACUUCUUUUCUUAGAGAAGAAUAUUGACGGUAUCUGAGGAAUAAGCAUCGGCUAACUCUGUGCCAGCAGCCGCGGUAAGACAGAGGAUGCAAGCGUUAUCCGGAAUGAUUGUGCGUAAAGCGUCUGUAGGUGGCUUCAAAAGUCUCCUGUCAAAGAUCAGGGCUUAACCCUGGGCCGGCAGGAGAAACUCUGAGGCUAGAGUUUGGUAGGGGCAGAGGGAAUUCCCGGUGGGGCGGUGAAAUGCGUAGAGAGCGGGAGGAACACCAAAGGCGAAAGAACUCUGCUGGGCCACAACUGACACUGAGGGACGAAAGCGAGGGGAGCAAAAGGGAUUAGAAACCCCUGUAGUCC
rnacentral:rRNA from 1 species